rnacentral:rRNA from 1 species
GAUGAACUGUGGGUAGCGGAGAAAUUCCAAUCGAACCCGGAGAUAGCUGGUUCUCCCCGAAAUAGUUUUAGGACUAGCCUCAAGUUAGAUACCUGGAGGUAAAGCACUGAAUAGCCUAGCGGCCGAGAGGUUAGCGAAGCUUAUCAAACUCAGAAUGCCAGAAUAUUGAUGCUUGGGAGUCAGACAGUGUCAGAUAAAUGUCAUUGUCAAAAGGGAAACAGCCCAGAUCUACAGCUAAGGUCCCAAAGUCAGGUUAAGUGGAAAACGAUGUGAAGAUACGCAGACAACCAGGAUGUUGGCUCAGAAGCAGCCACUCAUUCAAAGAGUGCGUAAUAGCUCACUGGUCGAGCGUCUUUGCGCGGAGAAUUUAACGGGGCUAAACCUGACACCGAAGCUUAGGCAAUGUAGUAAUACAUUGGGUAGGGGAGCGUUGUAUACGCGGUGAAACAGUAGCGCAAGCGGCUGUGGAGUGUAUAGAAGUGAGAAUGCCGGAAUGAGUAGCGCGAAUGCAGUGAGAAUCUGCAUGGCCGAAAGCCUCAGGUUUUUGGAGGAAGGUUCGUCCGCUCCAAGUUAGUCGGGAGCUAAGGUGAGGCCGAGAGGCGUAGCCGAUGCACAGACGGUAGAGAUUCCGUCACCACCAAAAGAGUUAAGCACAGGGACACAUUUGAAGUCUCAGAGCCGGGUGUUGGUUCCGGUAGAGAUCGAGGGAAAUUAGUACCGAAGUCUGGGAUGGAAGAUGGCGAGAAAAGCUGUGUGUAUUUCUGAGGUGCCCGUACCGCAAACCGACACAGGUAGGUAGGAAGAAGAUUCUAAGGCCAACGGGAGAAGGGUUGUUAAGGAACUCGGCAAAUUGACCCCGUAACUUCGGGAGAAGGGGUGCUCCAGAGAUGGAGCCGCAGAGAAUCGGCCCAAGCAACUGUUUACCAAAAACACAGGUUUGUGCUAAAUCGAAAGAUGACGUAUACGAGCUGACGCCUGCCCGGUGCUGGAAGGUUAAGAGGAGAUGUGCAAGCAUUGAAUCGAAGCCCCAGUGAACGGCGGCCGUAACAAUAACGGUCCUAAGGUAGCGAAAUUCCUUGUCAGGUAAGUUCUGACCCGCAUGAAAGGCGUAAUGAUUUGGGCACUGUCUCAACAGCCCGCCCGGCGAAAUUGUAGUACCGGUGAAGAUGCCGGUUACCCGCGACAAGACGGAAAGACCCCAUGGAGCUUUACUGUAGCCUAAUAUUGGGUUUCGAUGUUGCAUGCACAGGAUAGAUGGGACACAGGGAAACAAGUGCUUUGGCAUUUGUGGAGUGGCCGUUGGGAUACCAUCCUUGCGAUAUUGGAAUUCUAACCUGCGCCUUUGAAUCAAGGCGGGGGACAUUGUUAGGUGGGCAGUUUGACUGGGGCGGUCGCCUCCUAAAGAGUA